AGCCUAUGAGCUUGUUACAAAAGCAUAUACCUUGAAAGUAUAAGAAAGAGCACAGCUCUAUAAGCUU
rnacentral:tRNA from 1 species